CGGAGAAACGUGAAUUGCUUACGAGGUCGAAGACACGAUCUCGGCCGGCGGAUGGCGAGGAUUGUUCCCAUGGCGGCCACCUCCUCCAACUCGCACAUCCGACUCGCUGCGCUCCACUCGCCACUCUCCUCCAUCGCUGCCGCCGCCCGGUUCGCUCCCAGCCGUCUCAACUGCGCCCCACGCCCUAUACAUCUGGAACAUUUGUUUGGAAUAACAACUUCUAGAAUGAUAAGAAAAGCAAAUUGUAUAAAAGCCAGUGUCUCCGGCAACACGACGCAAGCAAGCACUGUUGAUAAAGAAAGCGCUUUUGAGUGGGUGAAAACGGAUAAUCGGAGAAUGCUUCAUGUUGUUUAUCGUGUUGGUGACUUGGAAAGGACAAUAAAAUUCUACACAGAAUGCUUGGGAAUGAAGUUGUUGCGGAAACGUGACAUUCCCGAGGAGAAGUACACUAAUGCCUUCCUUGGAUAUGGACCCGAAGACUCACAUUUUGUUGUUGAACUUACUUACAACUAUGGAGUUGACAAGUACGAUAUUGGAACUGGUUUUGGACACUUUGGUGUUGCAGUUGAAGAUGUUGCCAAGACAGUGGAUCUUAUAAAAGCUAAAGGAGGAAAGGUAACCAGGGAACCUGGCCCUGUAAAAGGUGGCAGAAGUGUGAUUGCUUUUAUCGAAGAUCCUGAUGGUUAUAAGUUUGAGCUUUUGGAAAGGGGCCCAACACCAGAACCCUUGUGUCAAGUGAUGCUUCGUGUAGGAGAUCUUGAUCGUUCCAUAAAUUUCUAUGAGAAGGCAUUUGGUAUGGAGCUUCUUCGCAAAAGAGACAAUCCUGAAUAUAAGUACACUAUAGCGAUGAUGGGAUACGGUCCUGAAGAUACAAACACCGUUUUGGAGUUGACCUACAACUAUGGAGUUACAGAAUAUGACAAAGGGAAUGCCUUCGCACAGAUUGCAAUUGGCACGGAUGAUGUUUACAAGACAGCAGAGGCCAUAAAACUGCAUGGAGGAACGAUCACCCGUGAACCAGGCCCCUUACCUGUCAUUAAUACUAAGAUAACUGCCUGCUUGGAUCCAGAUGGUUGGAAAACUGUCUUUGUUGACAAUGUAGAUUUUGUUAAAGAGCUGGAGUAUUAAGCCCUUGUUAUCGGACCUACAUCUCAAGGAGCAUCAGUUACUCGACGACAACGGCUGGCUGUCGCCUAACUAAUCUUGCAUGACUAUCCAGCAGUUGUGUGAUGCCUUGGAUGCAGAUCUUUCAUCACAUUUUCUGCAUUCAAAUUUGGAGCUGAGAUUUAUCUACAGGAUUGACACAAUAGUAUAUAGAAUUCCAAUAUUCUUUUCAGAACCAGCUUCAAUUUCUGUAAUUGAUCAUUUUUAUAUCUCA